rnacentral:lncRNA from 1 species
AGGACAUCUCUCUAAGAAUUAUCUAAGUGACUGAUGAAUCAGAGGGAUACCUAAAUACGAAAACUGAGUGAAAACACCAAAGGAUGAGCCAAGUUUGCCAAUGAUAGAGAUGAUAUCCUACUCAUGUUUGCUCUGAAGCAGCUAAUACAAUGCUUCAUACAUGGCUUCCUUGUGAUGUUCAACUUAAGCUGACUUUUUCCAGAUACAAAUGUUGUGGGUGGCAGCAGAAAAACCCAGCACCUGGGCUCACAUAGUGCUUAUGCCCAGUCUCGAUCUUGAUGCACAUGCACCCCAUGUGUACUUCCCCUGUCUGUCUAAUAUCACUGAGUUUCCUUAUGACUUCAGUUCUUAAAAAUUUCAUCACCAUAACAUCA